AUCAUCAUCAUCGGUAACGUUUACAGAUUUAAUUUCCGGUCUAAUUGGUACAAUUCUUCCGUCGGACCCGUCGUUGACCGCCGUUGAUUUUUAAGUCUCCCCUGCCGUAAGAACUCUAUUUAACAUUGACCUACGACGGCGUUCAACUUCUUCGUUCUUGCUUCUCAAGAAGGAGAUGAUUCUGAUGAUGAUGAUGAUGAUGAUGAAGUGGUUUGAGCUUUGUUUGUGAGUAGAGACAAGAGAUGUCCCCAGCUUUCUUUGACAUAAAGUGCAGCGUAAUAGUCUCUGUACUGCUCGUGUGCGUUUAACCAAGACUCUCCCAUCAUUUCCCCGAGAUAAGUCUCUCUCAAGCCGCAGAAAUGGGAGUGAUUGUUCAUCAUAAAGAUGCAAGAAAGAGCGGUUUCUUUGUUGGAACUUGACCAUGCGUCCAAGUUCAAAGCAAUCUCUCUCAGUAUGUUGUAGAUGUGACCUGUGAGAAGCUCUUCUUGAUACUUUGCGUUCUUCCAUCCCAAAUCAAUUUCUAGGACCUUCGACAAGAUUGGCUUGUUGUUGUUCCCCAGUAGCUUGUUGCAGUACUCAGUCACAACGCUUACAAGCUUUGGGACACCUCCAUCAAGAGGUGGGCAAUUUGGUCUCUGUAGCUCUACCUGACAAGGUAACUCCCAGAAGAUCUCGGAGACACCCUUAACGAGAUUGCUGAUUAGCUCCCGUGUAACUCUGCGUAUCUCUGAACAUUGUUCCCCUCGAAAUAGCCUGUUAAACUCUAUCCGAAAGUUGUCCAUUGUAGAGAAACAAUCUAAGAGCUUGAUCAGCUUUGGUGGCUCUCUCUUGCAUUUGCUGAUUCUUGAUCCAAAUCUGAGAAGCUGAAGGAUCACUGAAUUUGAAGCUAUUUCUCCAAAGCAACGCAAGGGAACAUCUUCUCCAAUAUCUUCAAAUACGUCAUAGCAGAGCUUACUCUCAAACUCGUAUAUCUCUUUCACAGCUAUCUCCAUAUGCAAUCUCCAUUGAUCUAUAUCGCCUUCAAUAUCAUGUACAUUAUCAGCUUCUGUGAUUGUUUUCUCCAGAUAACUAAUCUCAAACCGUUUCUGAAUGACCUUGGUGCGGACUUUGAUGUAAACUGGUACGCAGCUUGUUAACCGCGUGUGAGCAUGUAAUCUCUUGAUGAUAGCCUGCAACUUUCUCAAGUUGUCUUCUGAGAAAACCGGCUUCUCUUGGAGAAUCCGCUUGAAUUCUGUUUCAAGAUUCUUCAGCGCUGUGUAAAGAAUACCUCCUUUGAGAUAAGCACGAGACUCGGUCAUUUGCAAUUCCCGGAGAAGCUCUAUGGAAGUCUUGAACCGCAAACCGCAAGGAUGAUCUUCAGGCAUUCCCUUUUCGGUUAGGUACUCGAUCGUAUCUUCUAGCCAGUUAAGAGCAAGAACACAGCUACUGGAGAGAAGCUUCAUCGCUUCUCCAAGACGUUUAACAUCCGAAACAUAACCAAGGACUCCAUCAGAGGACACGAGAGAUCUCUCAAGCUCUUGAACCGUAGCAAAGACUCUCAGGACAGCGGAUAUUGGAGCAAUGGUGUGACGGAUAUGAUCAGAGAAAGGAGAAGCCUUCCAUCUCUCAACUUUAAGAUCAGCUUCUAAAGACGACAACUUAUGGUUGAUCUCUUCAAUCUUGGAUCCAGUCUUGUUAAGAACCAAUGAAAAGGUUUCAGAUUUCUCCAUCUCACUCUUCAAUAAACUUCUCAUUGCUUUAAGCCUCUCAAGUCUCUUUGAUUCAGCCAUUGUUUUGCUGCUUACUCAGUGGAGGAGGAUAUGAUUGUUGCUUCAACAACUAUAUAUGGAUUUGAUAACAAUCCUUUAUCCUCGGAAGAUAAACCAAAUUUCUUACCAAACCCACCAAAAUAAGUAAUUACCAGUGUUCUUCUUCUAAAGACUUCUAUAAACCAAAACAAGAUCACAUAUAAUCAUUAACUUAAAGCAAAACCCAAAGUCUUGUUUUAUUUGUUAGUCAG
rnacentral:lncRNA from 1 species